rnacentral:rRNA from 1 species
CACAGGUAGUCAAGAUGAGAAUUCUAAGGUGAGCGAGCGAACUCUCGUUAAGGAACUCGGCAAAAUGACCCCGUAACUUCGGGAGAAGGGGUGCUCUUUAGGGUUAACGCCCAGAAGAGCCGCAGUGAAUAGGCCCAAGCGACUGUUUAUCAAAAACACAGGUCUCUGCUAAACCGUAAGGUGAUGUAUAGGGGCUGACGCCUGCCCGGUGCUGGAAGGUUAAGAGGAGUGGUUAGCUUCUGCGAAGCUACGAAUCGAAGCCCCAGUAAACGGCGGCCGUAACUAUAACGGUCCUAAGGUAGCGAAAUUCCUUGUCGGGUAAGUUCCGACCCGCACGAAAGGCGUAACGAUUUGGGCACUGUCUCAACGAGAGACUCGGUGAAAUCAUAGUACCUGUGAAGAUGCAGGUUACCCGCGACAGGACGGAAAGACCCCGUGGAGCUUUACUGU